rnacentral:rRNA from 1 species
UACGUAGGGUGCAAGCGUUAAUCGGAAUUACUGGGCGUAAAGCGUGCGCAGGCGGUUUUUUAAGUCUGACGUGAAAUCCCCGGGCUCAACCUGGGAAUUGCGUUGGAAACUGCAAGGCUGGAGUCUGGCAGAGGGGGGUAGAAUUCCACGUGUAGCAGUGAAAUGCGUAGAGAUGUGGAGGAACACCGAUGGCGAAGGCAGCCCCCUGGGUCGAGACUGACGCUCAUGCCCGAAAGCGUGGGGAGCAAACAGG